CGGAGAGGUGGCAGAGCGGUUGAAUGCACCGCACUCGAAAUGCGGCAUGGGUGCAAGCCCAUCGGGGGUUCGAAUCCCCCUCUCCGCC
rnacentral:tRNA from 1 species